UGAGCUCCGUUUUCUGUGCGAAGGACUGCAUGCAAAAAAUCAAUGACAGUACACCGUUCUGGAUAAAAUAAUGGCAAUGUGCAGGAGCACAAUGCCGAUUUAAUGAUUAACACAAAAAUAACAAAUUACAGAUAAAUGUUACAAAUUUAGUAUUCAUGCAUAGCACAGAAAAGGUGGGGUGUUAAAAAACGCCCCAUAUACAAAAACCGCCGGUAACAUGUAUCGUAGGACGCAAAAUGAGGCAAGGG